CACUAGAUGAAGAAAGUUGUAACAACCUUCACACUCUUGAGAUGUAAAAAAAAUAUUGAUAGAAGAACUAAAUUCAAACUAUUUUAUUUUUUUUAUCAAGGAAUUGCAUUGUUAUCAAGAUAUUGAUGUUGGCCAGGGCUUGGGCCAAGGCAACUAGAGGUGCAUGCAUAAGAUAUACGUGAUGACAUAGACGAUGGAUGACGCUGUUGAUGGAUGGCCGACCAAAAUACUUUCGGUGCUGUAUUCGUCAGUAUUGGAAAUGCCUGGUCAAUUGAAUGAUGAUAUUGAAAUAUAUGUAUAAUACACACUUAAUUCAGAUUGCCGGGAUAUCAGCAUUUUUUCAAACUUUUGCCGAGAUUCGCACAGCCGAGCAAUCAGCAAACAAUCAUUUUGCCGGGAUCUCGGCAAUUUUGACAGUUCAUUGCUGAUAGUCGGCAAUCGUUUUGCUGAGAAUCAGCUAACAAUCGUCACUUUUUGCUGAGAUACCAGAUAAAGAUUUUGCUGAGCAGACGGCUGUGCGCGAUUUUGCCGAGCCCGCGAAUCUGUUUUGAGUGUGUAGCAAGAGGAAAUCUUGAGACAUGAUAAGAGUCAGGAUAUAAUUUUCCUUACUAUUGUUUGUUGAUCUUUGCAUUUUGAAACUAUUGGAAAAAAGGAGAGAUGUAGUGUAGCGGAAUAUCAUUACAUAUAGGAGGCUGUGCUUAGAGCACUGACAGGAGAAUAUGAGAAUAAAGGCAUUAUUGUUUUAGUAACCCGAA